GACGAACGCUGGCGGCGUGCUUAACACAUGCAAGUCGAACGGUGAACCAGAGCUUGCUCUGGGGAUCAGUGGCGAACGGGUGAGUAACACGUGGGCAACCUGCCCCAGACUCUGGGAUAACCUCGGGAAACCGAUGCUAAUACCGGAUACGACCACUUCGGACAUCCGACGGUGGUGGAAAGUUUUUCGGUCUGGGAUGGGCCCGCGGCCUAUCAGCUAGUUGGUGGGGUAAUGGCCUACCAAGGCGACGACGGGUAGCCGGCCUGAGAGGGCGACCGGCCACACUGGAACUGAGACACGGUCCAGACUCCUACGGGAGGCAGCAGUGGGGAAUAUUGCUCAAUGGGAGAAAUCCUGAAGCAGCAACGCCGCGUGAGGGAUGAAGGGCUUUUGCUCGUAAACCUCUGUAGUGAGGGAAAAAUUUCCACUCUGUGGAAUAUGAUGGUACCUCAAAAGUAAGCCCCGGCUAACUACGUGCCAGCAGCCGCGGUAAGUGCGACGACA
rnacentral:rRNA from 1 species